rnacentral:rRNA from 1 species
UUGAGCGAUUUACUUCGGUAAAGAGCGGCGGACGGGUGAGUAACGCGUGGGUAACCUACCCUGUACACACGGAUAACAUACCGAAAGGUAUGCUAAUACGGGAUAAUAUAUUUGAGAGGCAUCUCUUGAAUAUCAAAGGUGAGCCAGUACAGGAUGGACCCGCGUCUGAUUAGCUAGUUGGUAAGGUAACGGCUUACCAAGGCGACGAUCAGUAGCCGACCUGAGAGGGUGAUCGGCCACAUUGGAACUGAGACACGGUCCAAACUCCUACGGGAGGCAGCAGUGGGGAAUAUUGCACAAUGGGCGAAAGCCUGAUGCAGCAACGCCGCGUGAGGGAUGAAGGCCUUCGGGUCGUAAAACUCUGUCCUCAAGGAAGAUAAUGACGGUACUUGAGGAGGAAGCCCCGGCUAACUACGUGCCAGCAGCCGCGGUAAUACGGAGGGGGCUAGCGUUAUCCGGAUUUACUGGGCGUAAAGGGUGCGUAGGCGGUCUUUCAAGUCAGGAG